rnacentral:rRNA from 1 species
AUUGAACGCUGGCGGCAGGCCUAACACAUGCAAGUCGAGCGAGCGGCGGACGGGUGAGUAAUGCCUGGGAAUUGCCCAGUCGAGGGGGAUAACAGUUGGAACCGACUGAUAAUACCGCAUACGAUUGGCUUUCUCAGGUGGGGUUAGCCAGUUGGUGCGGUAAUGGCUCACCAAGGCGACGAUCCCUAGCUGGCCUGAGAGGAUGAUCAGCCACACUGGAACUGAGACACGGUCCAGACUCCUACGGGAGGCAGGAGUGGGGAAUAUUGCACAAUGGGGGAAACCCUGAUGGAGCCAUGCCGCGUGUGUGAAGAAGGCCUUCGGGUUGUAAAGCACUUUCAUCAGGGAGGCGGUACUCGCAGAAGAAGCACCGGCUAACUCCGUGCCAGCAGCCGCGGUAAUAC